rnacentral:misc_RNA from 1 species
AUGAGCUGACUGAAGCACAUUCCACGCCCAAACAUGAAGGUGUGCGUCUUCGGAGACCAGCACCAUCUUGACGAGGCUGCCGCCGGAGACAUUCCAUCGAUGAGCGCCGAUGACUUGAAGAAGCUUAACAAGCAGAAGAAGCUCAUCAAGAAGCUCGCCAAGAGCUACGAUGCUUUCAUCGCUUCCGAAUCCUUGAUCAAGCAGAUCCCACGUAUCCUCGGUCCAGGACUCAACAAGGCCGGAAAAUUCCCUUCCGUCGUUACCCACGGAGAAUCUCUCCAAAGCAAGAGUGACGAGAUCCGCGCCACCGUCAAGUUCCAGAUGAAGAAGGUUCUCUGCCUCUCCGUCGCCGUCGGUCACGUUGGACUCACCCAGGAGGAGCUUGUCUCCAACAUCUCCCUCUCCAUCAACUUCCUCGUCUCGCUCUUGAAGAAGAACUGGCAGAACGUGAGAUCGUUGAACAUCAAGUCCACCAUGGGAAAGCCACAAAGAGUUUAUUAA